UACGUAGGGUGCAAGCGUUAAUCGGAAUUACUGGGCGUAAAGCGUGCGCAGGCGGUUUUGUAAGUCUGUCGUGAAAGCCCCGGGCUUAACCUGGGAAUGGCGGUUGAAACUAGUCGACUAGAAUCUGGCAGAGGGGGGUGGAAUUCCACGUGUAGCAGUGAAAUGCGUAGAGAUGUGGAGGAACACCGAUGGCGAAGGCAGCCCCCUGGGCUGAGAUUGACGCUCAGGCACGAAAGCGUGGGGAGCAAACAGG
rnacentral:rRNA from 1 species